rnacentral:rRNA from 2 species
UGGGGGAUAUUGCACAAUGGGGGAAACCCUGAUGCAGCGACGCCGCGUGAAGGAUGAAGGUCUUCGGAUCGUAAACUUUUGUUUUCAGGGACGAUAAUGACGGUACCUGAAGAGGAAGCCACGGCUAACUACGUGCCAGCAGCCGCGGUAAUACGUAGGUGGCGAGCGGUGUCCGGAAUUACUGGGUGUAAAGGGUGCGGAGGCGGGUCUUCAAGUCAGUUGUGAAACCCAUGGGCUUAACCCAUGGCAUGCGACUGAAACUGGAGGUCUUGAGUGUCGGAGAGGUAAGUGGAAUUCCUAGUGUAGCGGUGGAAUGCGUAGAUAUUAGGAGGAACACCAGUGGCGAAGGCGACUUACUGGACGAUAACUGACGCUGAUGCACGAAAGCGUGGGGAGCAAACAGG